rnacentral:rRNA from 1 species
GACGAACGCUGGCGGCGUGCUUAACACAUGCAAGUCGAACGAGAAUCUGCGGAAAGAGGAUUCGUCCAAUUGAAGCAGAGGACAGUGGCGGACGGGUGAGUAACGCGUGAGGAACCUGCCUUUCAGAGGGGGACAACAGUUGGAAACGACUGCUAAUACCGCAUGACACAUAGGUGUCGCAUGGCACUUAUGUCAAAGAUUUAUCGCUGAAAGAUGGCCUCGCGUCUGAUUAGCUAGUUGGUGAGGUAACGGCCCACCAAGGCGACGAUCAGUAGCCGGACUGAGAGGUUGAACGGCCACAUUGGGACUGAGAUACGGCCCAGACUCCUACGGGAGGCAGCAGUGGGAAAUAUUGGGCAAUGGGCGCAAGCCUGACCCAGCAACGCCGCGUGAAGGAAGAAGGCUUUCGAGUUGUAAACUUCUUUUGUCAGGGACGAGUAGAAGACGGUACCUGACGAAUAAGCCACGGCUAACUACGUGCCAGCAGCCGCGG